GCUCCUAGUACGAGAGGACCGGAGUGGACGAACCUCUGGUGUUCGGGUUGUGUCGCCAGACGCAUUGCCCGGUAGCUAAGUUCGGGAUCGAUAACCGCUGAAAGCAUCUAAGCGGGAAGCGAGCCUUGAGAUGAGUUCUCCCUGAUACUUUAAGUAUCCUAAAGGGUUGUCGUAGACUACGACGUUGAUAGGCAGGGUGUGUAAGCGUUGUGAGGCGUUGAGCUAACCUGUACUAAUUGCCCGUGAGGCUUAACCAU
rnacentral:rRNA from 1 species